GGCAGUGUAACAUAGUGGUAAAGAGCCGGGCUUGUAACCGAAAGGUCGCUGGUUCGAUUCCUCACCGGAGCACUGUUG